rnacentral:rRNA from 2 species
GUUGUCCCGGUUUAAGCGUGCAGGUGUGUGUUCCAGGAAAAUCCGGUUCACUUUAACACUGAGGCGUGACGACGAGGCACUACGGUGCUGAAGCAACAAAUGCCCUGCUUCCAGGAAAAGCCUCUAAGCCUCAGGUAACAUCAGAUCGUACCCGAAACCGACACAGGUGGUCAGGUAGAGAAUACCAAGGCGCUUGAGAGAACCCGGGUGAAGGAACUAGGCAAAAUGGUGCCGUAACUUCGGGAGAAGGCACGCUGACACGUAGGUGAAGCGGUUUACCCGUGAAGC